GUAGACCUUAGGGAAUGAAAUGUUAUCCCAGAAACCUCUGGUGCCAAAAGGUAUGCUGGAUUGCUCAUUCUUGAUAUGAUGUAGAAGUGAGGCAACCAGGUUUUCGGUCAGAGUUAAAGGGUAAAGGCCUUGGAAGUUGGACUGCAGCCCAGCCUGAAGACCGAGGAGCAUUGGGGCCAACGCCACAUUUGAACCAUCUAU